rnacentral:rRNA from 1 species
GCUUAACACAUGCAAGUCGAGGGGCAGCAUGGUCUUAGCUUGCUAAGGCUGAUGGCGACCGGCGCACGGGUGAGUAACACGUAUCCAACCUGCCGUCUACUCUUGGCCAGCCUUCUGAAAGGAAGAUUAAUCCAGGAUGGCAUCAUGAGUUCACAUGUCCGCAUGAUUAAAGGUAUUUUCCGGUAGACGAUGGGGAUGCGUUCCAUUAGAUAGUAGGCGGGGUAACGGCCCACCUAGUCAACGAUGGAUAGGGGUUCUGAGAGGAAGGUCCCCCACAUUGGAACUGAGACACGGUCCAAACUCCUACGGGAGGCAGCAGUGAGGAAUAUUGGUCAAUGGGCGAUGGCCUGAACCAGCCAAGUAGCGUGAAGGAUGACUGCCCUAUGGGUUGUAAACUUCUUUUAUAAAGGAAUAAAGUCGGGUAUGCAUACCCGUUUGCAUGUACUUUAUGAAUAAGGAUCGGCUAACUCCGUGCCAGCAGCCGCGGUAAUACGGAGGAUCCGAGCGUUAUCCGGAUUUAUUGGGUUUAAAGGGAGCGUAGAUGGAUGUUUAAGUCAGUUGUGAAAGUUUGCGGCUCAACCGUAAAAUUGCAGUUGAUACUGGAUGUCUUGAGUGCAGUUGAGGCAGGCGGAAUUCGUGGUGUAGCGGUGAAAUGCUUAGAUAUCACGAAGAACUCCGAUUGCGAAGGCAGCCUGCUAAGCUGCAACUGACAUUGAGGCUCGAAAGUGU